UAGGGAAUCUUCCACAAUGGACGAAAGUCUGAUGGAGCAACGCCGCGUGAGCGAAGAAGGUUUUCGGAUCGUAAAGCUCUGUUGCGAGGGAAGAACAAGUACGGGAGUAACUGCCCGUACCUUGACGGUACCUCGUCAGAAAGCCACGGCUAACUACGUGCCAGCAGCCGCGGUAAUACGUAGGUGGCAAGCGUUGUCCGGAAUUAUUGGGCGUAAAGCGCGCGCAGGCGGUCCUUUAAGUCUGAUGUGAAAGCCCACGGCUCAACCGUGGAGGGUCAUUGGAAACUGGAGGACUUGAGUACAGAAGAGGAAAGCGGAAUUCCACGUGUAGCGGUGAAAUGCGUAGAGAUGUGGAGGAACACCAGUGGCGAAGGCGGCUUUCUGGUCUGUAACUGACGCUGAGGCGCGAAAGCGUGGGGAGCAAACAGG
rnacentral:rRNA from 1 species